rnacentral:rRNA from 1 species
UACGUAGGGGGCUAGCGUUGUCCGGAUUUAUUGGGCGUAAAGAGCGUGUAGGCGGCCAGGUAGGUCUGGUGUGAAAGUCACAGGCUCAACCUGUGAAUGCCGCUGGAAACUGUCUGGCUAGAGUCCGGAAGGGGCGAGUGGAAUUCCUGGUGUAGCGGUGAAAUGCGCAGAUAUCAGGAGGAACACCGGUGGCGAAGGCGGGUCUCUGGGCCGAUACUGACGCUGAGGAGCGAAAGCGUGGGGAGCAAACAGG